CGAAGACCCUGACGAAACAGGGGAGUCCAGUGGGGAGGGCUAUGACUCCAGUGAUGACUACGACCCUUUUGAGGGUUGUGAAGACAGACAGGAAGAACAGGUAUCUGAAGCCAUCAUCCGUUCCGUCGGAGAACCUUCCAAAAGGCUCACACGAUCGUGUGGUGAAGACCCGGAAGCCGCCUAAAGGUGACAGAGAGAACCCAUCCCUCGAUGAGUACAGCCCCAGCACUCUCAGCCAGGUUGACCAUGAAAGCUGC